GAGUAAUAUUAGUCAAUGGGCGCGAGCCUGAACCAGCCAAGUAGCGUGAAGGAUGACUGCCCUAUGGGUUGUAAACUUCUUUUGUAUAGGGAUAAACCUAGAUACGUGUAUCUAGCUGAAGGUACUAUACGAAUAAGCACCGGCUAACUCCGUGCCAGCAGCCGCGGUAAUACGGAGGGUGCAAGCGUUAUCCGGAUUUAUUGGGUUUAAAGGGUCCGUAGGCGGAUGUGUAAGUCAGUGGUGAAAUCUCACAGCUUAACUGUGAAACUGCCAUUGAUACUGCAUGUCUUGAGUGUUGUUGAAGUAGCUGGAAUAAGUAGUGUAGCGGUGAAAUGCAUAGAUAGUACUUAGAACACCAAUAGCGAAGGCAGGUUACUAAGCGACAACUGACGCUGAUGGACGAAAGCGUGGGGAGCGAACA
rnacentral:rRNA from 1 species